GAUGAACGCUGGCGGUGUGCCUAAUACAUGCAAGUCGUACGCAUUCUCGUUUCUGAUUGACGGUGCUUGCACCUAAUUGACGAGACAUUGGAAUGAGUGGCGGACGGGUGAGUAACACGUGGGUAACCUGCCCAGAAGCGGGGGAUAACAUUUGGAAACAGAUGCUAAUACCGCAUAAAAGUCAAAACCACAUGGUUUUGAUUUAAAAGAUGGCCUUUGUGCUAUCACUUCUGGAUGGACCCGCGGCGUAUUAGCUAGUUGGUAAGGUAAUGGCUUACCAAGGCAAUGAUACGUAGCCGAACUGAGAGGUUGAUCGGCCACAAUGGGACUGAGACACGGCCCAUACUCCUACGGGAGGCAGCAGUAGGGAAUCUUCCACAAUGGGCGCAAGCCUGAUGGAGCAACACCGCGUGAGUGAAGAAGGGUUUCGGCUCGUAAAACUCUGUUGUUAAAGAAGAACGUAUCUAAGAGUAACUGCUUAGGUAGUGACGGUAUUUAAUCAGAAAGCCACGGCUAACUACGUGCCAGCCGCCGCCUAA
rnacentral:rRNA from 1 species